CAGUCGAGCGGACAGAUGGGAGCUUGCUCCCUGAUGUUAGCGGCGGACGGGUGAGUAACACGUGGGUAACCUGCCUGUAAGACUGGGAUAACUCCGGGAAACCGGGGCUAAUACCGGAUGGUUGUUUGAACCGCAUGGUUCAGACAUAAAAGGUGGCUUCGGCUACCACUUACAGAUGGACCCGCGGCGCAUUAGCUAGUUGGUGAGGUAACGGCUCACCAAGGCGACGAUGCGUAGCCGACCUGAGAGGGUGAUCGGCCACACUGGGACUGAGACACGGCCCAGACUCCUACGGGAGGCAGCAGUAGGGAAUCUUCCGCAAUGGACGAAAGUCUGACGGAGCAACGCCGCGUGAGUGAUGAAGGUUUUCGGAUCGUAAAGCUCUGUUGUUAGGGAAGAACAAGUGCCGUUCAAAUAGGGCGGCACCUUGACGGUACCUAACCAGAAAGCCACGGCUAACUACGUGCCAGCAGCCGCGGUAAUACGUAGGUGGCAAGCGUUGUCCGGAAUUAUUGGGCGUAAAGGGCUCGCAGGCGGUUUCUUAAGUCUGAUGUGAAAGCCCCCGGCUCAACCGGGGAGGGUCAUUGGAAACUGGGGAACUUGAGUGCAGAAGAGGAGAGUGGAAUUCCACGUGUAGCGGUGAAAUGCGUAGAGAUGUGGAGGAACACCAGUGGCGAAGGCGACUCUCUGGUCUGUAACUGAC
rnacentral:rRNA from 1 species